AGAGUUUGAUCAUGGCUCAGAAUGAACGCUGGCGGCAGGCCUAACACAUGCAAGUCGAACGGAUCCUUCGGGUCUAGUGGCGCACGGGUGCGUAACGCGUGGGAAUCUGCCCUUGGGUUCGGAAUAACAGCGAGAAAUUGCUGCUAAUACCGGAUGAUGACGUAAGUCCAAAGAUUUAUCGCCCAAGGAUGAGCCCGCGUAGGAUUAGCUAGUUGGUGAGGUAAAGGCUCACCAAGGCGACGAUCCUUAGCUGGUCUGAGAGGAUGAUCAGCCACACUGGGACUGAGACACGGCCCAGACUCCUACGGGAGGCAGCAGUGGGGAAUAUUGGACAAUGGGCGAAAGCCUAAUCCAGCAAUGCCGCGUGAGUGAUGAAGGCCUUAGGUUGUAAAGCUCUUUUACCCGGGAUGAUAAUGACAGUACCGGGAGAAUAAGCUCCGGCUAACUCCGUG
rnacentral:rRNA from 1 species